GGGUUUUUCUCUGUGAGUCCAGGUCUUUGGAUACAGGGGCUUGCUACAUAUUUCUUGGAUCUAUGUACCGUUGUAGGGAUGCACCAAUCCAGAGCUUGGAAGAAGUGAUGCUUCACUGUCAACCAACUCUCUCUGGCCCCCUGUCCUUCCAAUGCUCAGCUAGACAUCGGUGUCUAAUCUCUUUGAUUGGACUUUCCUUGGGCUGCACUAAUUGAAGAGGAUUCAUCUUGGGCUGCAUAUGUGUAGGAUGCACCAAAGCUGGAAUCUUUCCACAGAAACUGCAAAAUACAAAGAGUGCAAUAGCAUUACUUGAUGGAGCAAAUUCUCAGUUACAAAACACUAUUUUUCAACAUGGUGAUCACCAUUAGGUACGCAUUCUUGCCAGCAAUAAUGAGACCCUGCAUGCAGUGCUUGAAGGAAGUUGAACCAGCAGAGAUGACUCACUGUUGCCACUGACACCACUGAAAUGUACUACACACCACCUCACUGUGUUGACAUCUACUGGCUGGUCCCCAUAAGCAUUCAGCAAGCCUCUGUGAAUGUCAGUAGGGGCAAUUUUUUCCACAUGGAGGAAUUCAGGUCCACAGCUUUGCUUCAUAUUUACUUCUAUGUUGAACACCACUUUCUUAGACUGCACCUCUGCUGUUAUCUGUUACACAGCAAAAAAAAAAAAAGUAAUGCAAUAUUGGUGGGAAGGUUCCCACCAUCCCAGAGUUCUAAGGGAAUUAGCUGAUGUAGUUGCCAAGCUACUCUCAAUGAUGCUUGAAGUUGUGGCAAUCAGGUGGAGUUAUGGGUGACUGGAAAAAAAGGUAACAUCUUCAUUUUUAAGAAGGGUAAAAAUGAUGAUGCUGGGGAGUACCAUC
rnacentral:lncRNA from 1 species